CUACGGGACGCUGCAGUCGGGAAUAUUGCGCAAUGGAGGAAACUCUGACGCAGUGACGCCGCGUAUAGGAAGAAGGUUUUCGGAUUGUAAACUAUUGUCGUUAGGGAAGAUAAAAGACAGUACCUAAGGAGGAAGCUCCGGCUAACUACGUGCCAGCAGCCGCGGUAAUACGUAGGGAGCAAGCGUUAUCCGGAUUUAUUGGGUGUAAAGGGUGCGUAGACGGGAAGACAAGUUAGUUGUGAAAUCCCUCGGCUUAACUGAGGAACUGCAACUAAAACUAUUUUUCUUGAGUGUUGGAGAGGAAAGUGGAAGUCCUAGUGUAGCGGUGAAAUGCGUAGAUAUUAGGAGGAGCACCGGUGGCGAAGGCGACUUUCUGGACAAUAACUGACGUUGAGGCACGAAAGUGUGGGGAGCAAACAGGAUUAGAUACCCCAGUAGUC
rnacentral:rRNA from 1 species